rnacentral:tRNA from 1 species
GGAGGGGUGGCAGAGUGGUCGAUUGCGGCGGUCUUGAAAACCGCUGACCCGCAAGGGUCCGUGGGUUCGAAUCCCACCCCCUCCGCCA